UACGGGGGGAGCAAGCGUUGUUCGGAUUUACUGGGCGUAAAGGGCGCGUAGGCGGCCUCUGCAAGUCGACUGUGAAAUCUCCGGGCUUAACCCGGAACGGUCAGCCGAUACUGCAGGGCUAGAGUGCAGGAGGGGCAACUGGAAUUCUCGGUGUAGCGGUGAAAUGCGUAGAUAUCGAGAGGAACACCUGCGGCGAAGGCGGGUUGCUGGGCUGACACUGACGCUGAAGUGCGAAAGCUAGGGGAGCGAACGGG
rnacentral:rRNA from 1 species